rnacentral:siRNA from 1 species
ACCAAAAUGUGUGUGUAAAUGUUA